rnacentral:lncRNA from 1 species
AAAUGCCUUGGACCAGCUGUGACUGAACAGCACACAGGCUGUUGCUUGUUCCUGAUGUUCAGGGCACUUUCCAGCUGGAAGAAAGUUACAGCUAAAGAGACACAGAAGAGAGAGGGAAGAGAUUUGAGGCAGCAGGUAUUUAGUGGCUGACCCACAACUCAAGCACCGUGGGGCCAAGCUUCCCAAGACCAUCUUCUUCGCAGCCGCUCUGUGUGGUGACAUCUUGGCAUCGUACAUGGAGAAGCGGUUUACAAGAGCCCCUAGGACUGACCAGAGAUCUCCACCAUGCCCCAGUCAUCCUCCUGUCACACUGCUGAUUCAACCAAUGCCCUCCCAAUCCUGCCCAUAGAGCAACUACAGGGGACAUGUGAUGCCACGUGCCUUACCCCAAGAAAUGUUCUACCAGAGCACUGCCACCUGGAUGUGUCUACCAGGGACUACCCAGAGACAAAUGGAAAGUGAAGAGCAAAUUGCCUGUGCCUUCGGGCACGCA